CUCACAACAAUCCUCCUGCCUCAGCCUCCCAAGUGUUGGCAUUACAGGCGUGCACCACCAAGCCCAGCAGUGAUUGAAUAAAUCUUGUUUCUAAAUAAUCAUUCGAUCUGUUUGCCAACAUGUUAUCUCACACAAGUGGGUCCCUGUUGGAGGAAAAAGCUGCUGCUGCAGAUCAGCAUAGAGGACUGCCCUCCUAAAGCCUGGAAAAGUCCACCAUGCCCCCAUAGGCUGCUCUGGUAGACGCCCCACAUCCAGCCAGUGAUGACCUUUAUACAUCAAGCUCAGCCUGGUCAACUCUGCAAAGCAAGGAAGGAGCACAGAAAAAUGGGAAGAGCCACAGACAAAACACAAUUUUCCAGGAAAUCUCCCUAGCGAACUUCUCCCACCCAAGCCCCACUGCCUUACAGCACACCCUGCUGCUCAACUUAUCAAUGGGUGAAUCCACCAAAAACUGUAAGUCCACAGAAUCCAAUCAAGUUUUAACACAAAAGAUAUUUGGGGGAUAUUUUACCCAUAAGCCAUAACACCAGGUCUGCUGUUGAAAGAAAAGUCAGGGGACACAAGCCAGCCCAGUGCCACUCAGACACAAACAUCACACAAGAGUCAGCAGCUCCACCAAAACUAUACAGCUGUCAGGGCCCAAUAGGAUGAUAAGUGGGGGAGCACGUCCUGAGCAGCCCAUGACAGUGCUUUGGACAUGCUUAAGUCACCUCAUUUGCACAGCACAGGAUGCUGAGGGCCUGGCAGUUUCUGUGCCUUACCCUGAGAGCCAGCAAAGACCAAGGGCAUAAAAGCAGCAGCUGACAUACAGGAACAAGACUCCUCAGUUGAUGCAGAGGUCUAGGUCCUGGAAAGGCUGCUUCUGUCAAUAUGUCACUGACUUUAGGCCUCCACCAGAGAUUCACUCCUGUCUUGGGUCACUGGAACUGGUAUAUCACCAUUUAUAGGAUUAGGGACAUCUCAAGGCCCUUCCCAGUCAACCUGCCAUGAGGAAAUGUCUCAGAACCAGCCUGUGUGAGGCACCUACAGCGGCUUUCCGCAACACACUGGGAACUUCUCACUUGGGUUCCUGACAGAGGAUUCGUCUCUCUGGACAGCGUGCCUGCUUGGACAGUUCACAGGGCGCCAACCUUGCUUCACUGCUGCACUGCCAUUCCACUGUCUGCCCUCUGAGCCAAAAAAAGACAAGAGAGAAUAUACACUGCCUCUUUGAGAGGAACACAAGUGAUAGAGGACAACAAAAAUCCUUUCUAACACAGGCUUCCUCCCAGAAUAUUGACUUCAGCCAGCAUGAGGAAUCAAAGCAUUUGCUCCAAGAUUUCCAAGAGCUGCCACUGUCUUUCUGUACUCAAAAGGGCUCUUGCUAAUUGCUGUCUUGACAAUCAGGUUCAAAGUUUGGCUCUGCACUUCCAGAUUCAAUGUCAUGUGGAAGAAACUACCAAAUCAGAAGAGGUAGAGGUUCUCAGGCCAGGGCAGGACAGAAUGGAAUAGAAGGAAAGCUUUAAAGCCGGCAGAGAACAGAAAUUCAAACGAGGCCCUUGAUUUCAUUGUGUAGCCUUUUAUACACCUUUUCUCUUAAUCUACUUAUUUUCAGGAAAGAAUACAUGCAUAUACUUAAAAGAGAAUAUAAUUAGCUAAUACAUGAAAAACAGGCAUAAUAUAUUAACAGUAUUCUGCAAAAUGAAUUAAAAUGAAAGAAAAGAAACAUUUCAACUGCCUCAGAAAAAUAAACUCCUUCAUCAACAUCACACACACACCAAAGCUGAAUUCUGAGUACUGACCCUGUUCUCUACCACACAGACCAGAAUGACUGUUGAAAAGUAGCAGCACCCUCAAUCAGGUCCUAAUGAUGAGACAUAGUCACCUAAGAAUUUAACAUAGUAAACUCGCUAUAGUAUAAUUCACUCUCUUCGAAGUUUGAAAGCCUUGCCUUCUUCUACUCAUUUAUUUCAUCAAAGUUCAGGUCUGAACCACAGUCCUGUGACAGGUCAUUUUGAGAAUCAGUCUGAUAGGCUUGCAAAAUCCCAGGGAUCUUAGUAGAGCAGUUCUGGGUGGAAGCACAAACCUCCAUCUGCACAUGACAUAGCUUUAUCCCAACCUUCUGCAAUUUGUCACAGUCAGCAGUCUUUCUAGAGAGCUGCAAUAUGUACAAUAAUUUUUUUUUGCAUCCCAGAGUCCAAGAAGUAGGAGUACAUAGCCGUUCUAGUGCUUUUCAAGAAGAGCCCCUUUUUUUUUUUUUUUUUUUUGGUACUGGGAAUUGAACUUAGGACCUUGCACUUGCCAGGCAGGCACUUAUGCCAUUCAGCUAUAUCCCUGGCCCAAGAGCCCUUUUUUUCCUUGUGUGUUUACAAAUAAAGUAGAGAGAAAAUAUUGUGAGAUAUUAUUCCUUAUUAGAAAACGGAUGUGUGAAUUGUAACACAGUGUUAUAGAUACAAAUUUAAGUUAGAAUUUCUGGAAAGCAAAGAUGUCAGUUUAUGAAAUUAAAAUGCAGAUAGAAACUUA